rnacentral:lncRNA from 1 species
AAUGGUUUCAACUUCUCUCUCUUUCUUGAUUUUUUAGGCAAGUGUGCAAUUAAGUGCCAAAUGUAAAAUUACAUAAAUACCCCUAAAACUAGCUUUAGCUUUGAAUUUGACCCUUCCGUCUAACACGGGGAUGUCGGAAGAGAAGUCUCGUGGCUUACUCACGGUAGAUUAAACUGACAAACGAAAAAGGUUACAAAAGCCCAACCAGACCACCGCCAUCGCCAAACAAGGAUUCCUAUUUUGUGAUUUUGCAAUAGAAUGGAUUCUUAUGCAGGUGAUCCAUAUGCCUCUAUUUGGCACCUCUGCAAAACCCCUUCCUUUCGACUCCCACAAUCGCCUCCACCACCUCGCCCUUCCGCCGCAGACCCUCGCCGCGUAGAAUACUGUCCCUUUGGCCCUGUUCCUCAACAUUUACUUUCCCACUAUCUCUGCUUUAACCCAACCCCACCCAAUAGCCCCAAUAACCAACAAGAGAGCUGUUCGUCUUCCCUUCAAGAUUCACAAACACCCCUCAAUUCCGUGCAAGAUUCUCAACUACCCGUUAGUGAACUUUACCUGGAGAAGAAUGAUCAAGCUACGACUCCUCCCUGUUGCAAAGCGUGUCAUGAAGAAGAUCCACUCCUAUUACAAGGCUAUAUAGACACUUCCAUACUCUGCGUUAAUUUUCAAGAUUCCCUGCCCCCAAUGCCCCGAGAAGACGAAAGGAAUUUGGGGGCUGGAGACCCAUAUGGUGAAAAUUCAAUUUUGUUGCUGGAAGAGCUCAAGGAACUAGCUUUGUGGGAUCAAGAUUCUGUUAUGGAUGAUGAUGAUAUUAGGUACAUGGUUUCUGUCAUGUCCAAGUUUAGGAAACAUGCAUUUGUUUCAGAGACAAUUAUGAAUUCUAGGUAUGAGUUGAUGUCUGAAUUGCUGGAGUCGAAGAAACUGGAUAAAGUUUCUGAGGCAAAAUCGGAUAUAUACUUUACUCGAAGUAUGUUGGCAAAUGCUAAUGCUGCUGCGUGUAUUUUUACUGAUUUGGAUGAUUAUAAUUCGACUAAGAAGAAGUCUAAUGAGAAACGAAAAGAAUCCCAAGUGGAAUGUGAGGCUAAUUUGGUUUCGAAAUUGACUGAUGAAAGUGCCAAUCAUAAAAUCAUUGAUCUAAUAGAGGAUAUGCUAUCACCGCAGGAAAGAACAAAUGCCAAACCCAAGGUUAAUGCACUGGGGAAUCAGAAUAUGAAAACAAUUGGUUGCUUUAGUCAUUGUCACUCAAAUUUUGAACGCUCUAAAUCAUUAUCUAAGACAAGGAAGAUAUUGCUAGUGGAUUCAGAUGAGCCUUUGUUGAAAAGGCCAAAACAUUCCUUAGGUGCUGAUUGUAGAAUAAGUGUGCUAUAAAACAGUUGCCGCUUCGUUUGCUCUACAUUUUGGUAGUACAUUCAGAGAAUCAGUUUAAAGGAUAUAGCGUUAUCAUGUUUGUCAUUUUGUUUGGGAGGUUUUCAGUUGGUGCUUUUGAAAAUCCUUUUUGUUCAACUGUGGGAAUGAUGGAGUUGUUAUUGGUCGUCGUUUGUUAAAUUUCCUAUAUCUCGAGAGUUUCUCUAUAGUCAGUUUAGCUGGGAAAUUUGCGACCUGGAAGCCAGAAAUAUAAGAAGUAGGUAUCUCUAUGACCAACUUCUGUACAGUUAUUUGUAUCUGUUAUCGGUGGUUAUCUUUGGUGCUAAUAGGUCCUGUUUGACUCAAUGUCUCCAUAUUUGGAUCCUUUAUCUCUUGUUUAAUGCCUUGAAGUAUGAAUAGACUUUUCUUCGAAAAAUUUUAGUACGAAUAUAUCUGAAUCUCAUCUUCAUUAUUUAAUAGAGUGACUAUGUUUGUCUGUUGAACUUUAUAUCGGUAAAACUGUUGAUGUGGAGGCACAUUUUCAUCUUUAGAGGUUACUGUUGAUCUUUCCUAUAGGAGAAUAAAAGGCUAAACAAUGUAUAUCGGUUCAAUAAUAAUUAGAUGAAAACUGACCCAAAAAAAUUAAUUUUGUUCAGCUAAGUUUCCAGUCUCCAUUGGAUAUGAAUCAAUUUGGAAACCUGAGCCGUAAUACAAAUGUAACAUUUAUUAAAACAUGCAAAAACUUUUGCUUUAGUUAUAUAUCAUCUCAAUUAAUGUUACCGCAUGUGAUUGAUUUGUUGCAAGUCCCUGACCACAGAAAAUAGGAUAUCCUUAUUUGGAGUAACUUAAGUGGUAACCGACUUCUUCAUUUAUGUAUCUUUCGUAUGCCUUUAAAUUAUAUCUUCGGUGAUGAGAUUUUAUGCUUGGAAUACGUGUUCUCACAAGUUUUGGGGAGACAUGGUAUUCCAUUGAGUUGAUCUGAUGCUUCCUAUCAUUAAAUCCAUGUCCAUGAUAAUAAAAGGAGUUCCAUUAGAAUGGAUAAUCAAGACAUUUAUCUGAAAUUGAAUUAUUUCAGUGAUCUCAUAGUUUGAAUUUGUGAUUCAAGGAUGGUUGUGAGGCGAAGAUGUAAUAUAUGAGGGUGUUAAGCUUUUAUUUU